UGUGUGUUAUGACUGUAUGACUGCAGAAGAGAACUGCUCUGUUCCCACAACUCAGUUUUUCUGGUAUUUGAAAACAGACGCUCAGAAGAUUUUAAAGGGUGGAAUCUUGAUCAAAUCGUGGGUUUACACACAAACAUGUAAUACAGUGCCAGAUUUUCUGGAUGUUAUAUACACAUUUGUAUUUGCAAACAUAUAUCAUAUUGUUUUAAAUGAUGUAUUUUUGUGUGGGUUUUUACAUUCAGAGAAAGUUACAGUGGAUCGUGAUUUUGGAGAAGGUGAAGUCCAAUCUAAAAGAGUCCCCUCAAGUAUCAUCACCAUGGUACAGUGUCUGUGAAGAUAGUGAUGCAGACCCAGCAUUCACAAAAAAGAGAGGUCCCACAAAGAGAAGAUCCUGGAGCAAACAGGAAGUACAUGCUGUGGUGAAACCUGAACCAUUGGCUCUAAAAACCAGAGAUUGGUCAGCUUUGGAUUUUUAUAUUAAAAACUGAAUCUCGACUCU